GACGAACGCUGGCGGCGUGCUUAACACAUGCAAGUCGAACGGAAAGGCCCAGCUUGCUGGGUGCUCGAGUGGCGAACGGGUGAGUAACACGUGGGUGAUCUGCCCCUAACUUCGGGAUAAGCUUGGGAAACUGGGUCUAAUACCGGAUAGGACAAUCGUUUAGUGUCGGUUGUGGAAAGUUUUUUCGGUUAGGGAUGAGCCCGCGGCCUAUCAGCUUGUUGGUGGGGUAAUGGCCUACCAAGGCGUCGACGGGUAGCCGGCCUGAGAGGGUGGACGGCCACAUUGGGACUGAGAUACGGCCCAGACUCCUACGGGAGGCAGCAGUGGGGAAUAUUGCACAAUGGGCGCAGGCCUGAUGCAGCGACGCCGCGUGGGGGAUGACGGCCUUCGGGUUGUAAACCUCUUUCGACAGGGACGAAGCUUUGGUGACGGUACCUGUAUAAGAAGCACCGGCUAACUACGUG
rnacentral:rRNA from 1 species